UACGAAGGGGGCUAGCGUUGCUCGGAAUUACUGGGCGUAAAGGGAGCGUAGGCGGAUAGUUUAGUCAGAGGUGAAAGCCCAGGGCUCAACCCUGGAAUUGCCUUUGAUACUGGCUAUCUUGAGUGUGGGAGAGGUUAGCGGAACUCCGAGUGUAGAGGUGAAAUUCGUAGAUAUUCGGAAGAACACCAGCGGCGAAGGCGGCUAACUGGCCCAUUACUGACGCUGAGGCUCGAAAGCGUGGGGAGCAAACAGG
rnacentral:rRNA from 1 species